GUACACUCCUACGGGAGGCAGCAGUAGGGAAUCUUCGGCAAUGGGGGCAACCCUGACCGAGCAACGCCGCGUGAGUGAAGAAGGUUUUCGGAUCGUAAAGCUCUGUUGUAAGUCAAGAACGAGUGUGAGAGUGGAAAGUUCACACUGUGACGGUAGCUUACCAGAAAGGGACGGCUAACUACGUGCCAGCAGCCGCGGUAAUACGUAGGUCCCGAGCGUUGUCCGGAUUUAUUGGGCGUAAAGCGAGCGCAGGCGGUUUGAUAAGUCUGAAGUUAAAGGCUGUGGCGCAACCAUAGUUCGCUUUGGAAACUGUCAAACUUGAGUGCAGAAGGGGAGAGUGGAAUUCCAUGUGUAGCGGUGAAAUGCGUAGAUAUAUGGAGGAACACCGGUGGCGAAAGCGGCUCUCUGGUCUGUAACUGACGCUGAGGCUCGAAAGCGUGGGGAGCGAACAGGAUUAGAUACCCUGGUAGUCCCAUG
rnacentral:rRNA from 1 species